rnacentral:rRNA from 1 species
UACGUAGGGUGCGAGCGUUGUCCGGAAUUAUUGGGCGUAAAGGGCUCGUAGGCGGUUUGUCGCGUCGGGAGUGAAAACUCAGGGGCUUAACCCUGAGCCUGCUUCCGAUACGGGCAGACUAGAGGUAUGCAGGGGAGAAUGGAAUUCCUGGUGUAGCGGUGAAAUGCGCAGAUAUCAGGAGGAACACCGGUGGCGAAGGCGGUUCUCUGGGCAUUACCUGACGCUGAGGAGCGAAAGUGUGGGGAGCGAACAGG